GAAGGAGAGGUACUGCAUAUUUGUAUCUUCUAUAUUUGAUUCUUGAGUCUUAAUGAUUAAAACUAUUUAUACUUGGAACCUUUUUCAGCUAGUUUGGCUCAACCCUGAUGACAAUCAUGAACUUAUGUGGGACUAUGGUAUGUGUUGAUAUCAGCAGAGGGGUUGCAGUAAGGGACUUAAUUGCAAAAGCUCUGAAGGGAGUUCUUGCACCGGCAUAGCAUGAGGCUAUUAUUAUUAUUUGCAUAAACGAAAUUUAAAGUAUUUUCUUAAGGUGUUGGACGAUCUGAAUGAG
rnacentral:lncRNA from 1 species